rnacentral:tmRNA from 1 species
UACGGAUUCGACAGGGAUAGGUUGAGCUUGGGUGGCGCGUCGAGGUUACGUCUCGUAAAACGUUAUCGCCUAAUAAUAACUGGCAAAACUAAUAAUCAACCUGCUUUAGCUGCUGCUGCGUAAGUAGUGCUUAAGCGAUCCUUCCUGCUAUCGCCCGUGUGGCAGAUUGAAGGGUCUCAAAUGAAGCGGGCUAUACUAUUGGCCACCGCCUGAGGUCAAUAGUUGAAAUGAAUCAGGCUAGCUGCUAGGAAGCCAGUUGGCAGGCCGAAUAGACAGCGAAUGAUAAUAUGUCAACUACACGCGUAGAAGCCGAAGUGGCAAUAUCUCUGGACGUGGGUUCGAUUA